rnacentral:misc_RNA from 1 species
AACGCACAUUGCGCCCGCCAGUAUUCUGGCGGGCAUGCCUGUUCGAGCGUCAUUUCAACCCUCAAGCCCUGCUUGGUGUUGGGGCCCUACGGCUACCGUAGGCCCUGAAAUCUAGUGGCGGGCUCGCUAUAACUCCGAGCGUAGUAGUAAUAUCUCGUUUAGGAAGUGUAGCGGGUGCUGGCCGUUAAACCCCCAAUUUUAGAAGGUUGACCUCGGAUCAGGUAGGAAUACCCGCUGAACUUAA